CUUCGGUUGGCUCCGAUCAGACGUCGCGGCAACAGAGCCGUGCCCUAGCAACGAUCCUUAAGGUCACGGAUUGGGAAAUUUCUUUUGGAGACAACCGAUUGAGUGAGGUUAUGUGCUCCUGCGGUGGAUCUGGAAUUGGGUUCUGUGGCAGCUUGGUUUCCAGCAGUGUUCUGUGAGGUUGCUUAUUUUUGGUUCGGCAGCUAUAAUCCCUGCUGUGGAUCAACCGAUUAGAGCAAGGAAUUGAGGAUUCUGAUUCGAGACAGGCGUCUCGAAGUUGACAUUGGAUUAGGACUGGAUUGUACCUU